UAAAUACAACAAUGUCCGCCAGAGAACUACAAGUGAAAAACUCAAAACUCCAAGGACUUGGCGGUGCUCCACACCAGCCUAGAGGAGCCUGUCCUAUAAUCGAUACCCCACGUUGAACCUCACCCCCUUUUGCCAUUCAGCCUAUAUACCGCCGUCGUCAGCUUACCUUAUGAAAGAAGAAUAGUAGGCAAAACAGUUAACAACAAACACGUCAGGUCAAGGUGUAGCAUAUAAGGUGGAAGAGAUGGGCUACAUUUUCUGUCACAGAACACACGAAUGACACAAUGAAACAAGAAUCUAAAGGCGGAUUUAGUAGUAAGGUGGAUGAGCAACACCACCUUAAACCCGCUCUGGAGCGCGCACACACCGCCCGUCACCCUCAUCCC
rnacentral:rRNA from 1 species